UCUAACAAUUCGUCUCCUUCGAUUCUCUCAUUGCCAUUCAUACGUAAGUCCGAAACUUAAGGAUCCAAACUUUACUUUGCAGCUUUUUAAGUUGUUUAAGUUAAGUUGAGUAUUAACCUACGGGAGCACAGCUUUCCAUAUAACAGUUGGGCAAAAUAUUAAGUUAAGUUAACUAACCAAGUUGGACUUUUUCUAUGGUAUUAGGAGUCAAAGAGCAACAGUGAAACUUACGAGAGACUUUUCGAAACUAUUUUCGCAGGCAAGUCGUCUUGAAAGUUGUUGAAGCUCAAGCUAAUUUUUUAUUAAUUUACAUUAUUCUGCUGUAUUAUCAAAUUUGGUUAAGGAAUAUACUUACAUACGCAUAUGUACAUAUAGUAUGUACAAUGUAUUUAUAAAUAUAUUUCAUGAUUUUA